AACGAACGCUGGCGGCAUGCCUAACACAUGCAAGUCGAACGAGACCUUCGGGUCUAGUGGCGCACGGGUGCGUAACGCGUGGGAACCUGCCCUUAGGUUCGGAAUAACUCCCCGAAAGGGGUGCUAAUACCGGUUAAUGUCUUCGGACCAAAGAUUUAUCGCCUUUGGAUGGGCCCGCGUUGGAUUAGCCAGUUGGUAGGGUACAAGCCUACCAAGGCGACGUUCCAUGGCUGGUCUGAGAGGAGGAUCAGCCACACUGGGACUGAGGCACGGCCCAGACUCCUACGGGAGGCAGCAGUAGGGAAUAUUGGACAAGGGGCGAAAGCCUGAUCCAGCAAUGCCGCGUGAGUGAUGAAGGCCUUAGGGUUGUAAAGCUCUUUUACCCGGGAUGAUAAUGACAGUACCGGGAGAAUAAGCACCGGCUAACUCCGUG
rnacentral:rRNA from 1 species